rnacentral:rRNA from 1 species
UACGCAGGGUGCGAGCGUUGUCCGGAAUUAUUGGGCGUAAAGAGCUCGUAGGCGGUGUGUCGCGUCGGCCGUGAAAACCUGGGGCUUAACUCUGGGCGUGCGGUCGAUACGGGCAUCACUGGAGUUCGGCAGGGGAGACUGGAAUUCCUGGUGUAGCGGUGAAAUGCGCAGAUAUCAGGAGGAACACCGGUGGCGAAGGCGGGUCUCUGGGCCGAUACUGACGCUGAGGAGCGAAAGCAUGGGUAGCGAACAGG